GAUGAAGAACGUAGCGAAAUGCGAUAAGUAAUGUGAAUUGCAGAAUUCAGUGAAUCAUCGAAUCUUUGAACGCACAUUGCGCCCGCCAGUAUUCUGGCGGGCAUGCCUGUUCGAGCGUCAUUUCAACCCUCAAGACCCCUUCGGGGGACUUGGUGUUGGGGACCGGCACAGGGGCCUGCCUGCUUGUCUUGCAGCGCCCUCGCCGCCCCCGAAAUGAAUUGGCGGCCUCGUCGCGGCCUCCCCUGCGUAGUAGCACAAACCUCGCAACGGGAACGUGACGGCGGCCACUGCCGUAAAACAACCCAAUUUUACUAGAGUUGACCUCGAAUCAGGUAGGAAUACCCGCUGAACUUAAGCAUAUCAAUAAGCGGAGGA
rnacentral:misc_RNA from 1 species